CCAACAUGGGCAUCCAUUGAGGUGGCUCUCGCAUGGCUCUGCCCAGGUGGCGUAUGGGAGCGUAGCACCGUAUGGGGCAAUGAUGUAUAGUCCUAUUCCACAAUGUUGGACAUGAAGCUUUUCCCCCCCAGACUGAAAAGGCUGGUGUGGGAGGCAUCCUGUAUAUUCCUAUAACUUCCCAGCUUUUACAGUUGUUGUGAAGACAAACCAUGCAGGACACAAGU